AUGUUUACAAGUCAUCCUGGUCCUAAAGAGUGUGGACGUCUUUAAACCAGACACGCAUUUUAAAAUUUCACUACAAAUCGUCUCGCACGUGCUGACGUACACGAGCUCCUGCAUAAACCCGCUGCUGUACGCGUUCCUUACCGAAAACUUUCGGAAAGCAUUCCGUAAGAUUGUUUACUGUGGACCGGGGAGCCAUCGCCAGGGCAGCCAGCGACAUAUGCCACUGCCAACGAAAACGACGCGAACCGGCAGCUGUCCAGACAUUUUAUAACCGGAAACAAUGGAGGAAACGUCCGUCACCUUCGUUUAAUACACUCUUUGUUUUCGCACAGUGUAGCCCAGUGUAUCCGUUUUAUCCUGUCCUCGACAGAUCAUCAGCACAGCGGCACAAGCUUCUACGAAACGGUUCGCCAAAUGGCUUAACAGAGAUGGAAACCGAACUAACCAAUCGUUACAAUAAUCACUCUCAUCAUCAUCUUCAUUAUAAGCAGAAGUAAUUAACAGAUCGUUUGGUACCGCAUGGUGCGUUUAUCAUAAUGGACACAAUUUGCAGGUCCAGCCCAAUGUCCUACUUUAUUAAAUUUUAUCUACGUUAUAUGAGGUUGCGCUUGAUCGUUACUGUACUGUGCUUUACAAGUUUGUUAUGUCAAGGUAAAAACGUAUAACAGAUUCCAAAUAAACAAUUUUUUUCGAGGCGAAACUUUAGCUUCUGCCAGCAAUGAUCGUAUCAAGAGCGUGUAAAUGACAGGGUUCAGUUCGACUGUGGAAGACUAGCACAACGAUUUACAUUAGCUCGAAAGCAGUUUAUGGUUAGAGAUAAAACAAAUCAGCCACUUUAUUCGAGAUGUUUCCUAUUGUUAUUAAACGUUAAGCAACGAACUGAACAUAUUCAGUCCUGAUACAGGAUCCAUUGGGGUGGGCGAACGAUGAAAACAAAAUCGAGAUACGGCUGUUGUGAGUGGUGUUACCCAUUUAGAAGCGCCACUAAUGAGUAGUAAUUACGAUUCAUUCGAAUAACAAGCGCAAACGAAGUAAAAUAGAACAUUUCUAUGUGUAAAUAAUUGCAACUGAUGCUUGACAAACAAUACUGAAUGGUAGUGGUUGGUAGGUGUACUAGGGAACAAAACCAAAACCUAAAGUGAAUAAAUACUGUACGGACUUGUUUCUCGCAGUAUACUAGAUGAAAUGACGUGGUGUCAGGAAAACAAUUGAUAGUUGGUUUCAAAUGUACCAUUUCAGUAAAACAUAAUCCCUAGAUAAGUCUCAAACGUGAGUAACUGAACAGAGCGUCAUACAUCCAACGAACUGUGUGGUACAAUUAAACUGUGCAUGUAUAGCGUAACACGCACUGGCGGUUUGUUGCUUGCUGUGCGGCUUUGCUUUCAAACGACUUAGGCUGGACAAAUGAGCCCCACCGGUGUUCUGCGAAGAUCAAGUGCAGGAAUGGUUUGUGUAUGCGUAUGAAAAUAACAAACAGAGAAGUAAAAGUAAAGGAAACCAUGAUUUCCCAUGUGCCAUUCGCGUCUGGCACUCUUGUAGGAGCACCUGUGCUGCUUACGCCAUAUUUUGUUUGCACGUGAUGAUUGCCAAAAAUCGAUUCGGAUUUGUUUCGGGUCACCGUUUGAGUUAAGUACGUGACAUCAAUCAAACCAAGCGUACUAGCGGAUCACAACACCAUUCCGAUACACGUGUUGGCGCGUUGUUCCGUGAUAAACUGCCCUGCACAGUCUCGCUGCAUGGAUGGAAAAUUGUGUCGAAACCAACACCAACCAAAAAGGGGUACCAGAUUGUAUGCUGAUGCUCUCUGCAUUCCUCAUUUGUGCAAAGUUCAAGCUGGAAUUUAGACGGUCUCUGCACCAUCAAUACACGCAUUAUGGUUCUCGCUAACCAAAGCCUGUCACAAAGCUAUUUUCAUCAACAUCGCCAUCGUCAUCAUGAACAUCAUCAUCAUCCGCAUACUGUUCGCCGUUUGGUAUUGCAGAGUGAGGAAUUUUGGGAACUUCGGCGACAGUUUGCUAUAAAAGUUCCUUCUCACCAUUCGGGCGCACAUUUGGUAACGGUCGCAUCGAAAGAAAGACGCGAAGGAUGGUGGAGCACGCCUGGUUCGGUGGUACGCGAACGUCAUAAAUCACUCCUUACUGUACUCAAAAAUACCUAUAUCAACACAUCACCAUGUGCGUCCCGAGAAUGGAAAAUUAUACCGAAAGCCGCUUGCAGAACGUGGACCCAUGCUUGUAUUUCUGUACUUGUAUCAGCGUGAACUUUCCCAUCCAUCAGCAAACCAAACAGUGGCGUAAAUAUGUGUCAUUCGAUGAACAAAAACGGAAUGUACGUAAAAUCCCUCAUUUAUUCUGCGCGACACAAAAAAAGAAAACUCCAAACAACCAUGUGCUUUCCUGUCGGCAGCUGCUGCUUGGUACUUCCUUUUAUAGCAAACUCUAAUCAGCAAACCAUUUCACUGCACGCCUUUUCACGGAACAUCACUCUUUAAGCCUCCGAUUGAAAGCAAAAGCCACACUGAAAUCAACGGGGUAGAUUCAUCAGUGCGACUGUGGGUAGUGCGUUCGGUAAAAGUACUAAUAAGAGUUUUUGUUACGCUUUUCACAAGGAAAGCAAAGCAGAAAAAAACUUGAUGCGGCAAAUGAGUGUGUACAAGAGUAUCUACAGUAUCCGAGCCGAAUGUCAAUGUUAGGUUAGCGCUGUACGUAAAUUACACUGCUGUACACGAAGCUACUGAUUAUAGCGUUCGAGGUAAAAAGCAGCGCGUGCGUGUGGACGGAGUGAUAAAACUUCAGUCAAUACGUUCAGUUCAGAGUGCGAAACAGGAGAACUUUUGCAAAAAUAUGUUCGAACGAAAAUCGUAACUUAAAUAAUAGUAUAGUAUAGUGUCUCAAAGGAUGCAAAAAGGUAAGGUUGCGGGUUAAAUGGUAACAUACGAAGUACCAAAUUAAAAUAUAAUGAAACGUCGGCCAUGGCUUUGAACAAACAAAUGAACAUAGAAGAAAGGACUUGAUGAAAUUGGCCAUGAUUAUUGAAGCUAUUUUCACACACUGGUAGUACGAAAAACAGGAAAACCCGAUUGCCCGAAAGCUGUACCCACUUCAAACGGCACAAUGAUUAUAAAGAUAAUGCAGGACGAGCAGAUUCGAGGAUAACGGGCGGAUGUGUAUACACAGGCACUCCCCGGUAUCCACCCAUGCAUCCCAAUGGUUUGAUAUGAGUCAGUAAAGCAAAACUUUAUCAAUUUAACGCAAGGUUAGCAUGUAACAUAGCUGGCAGCUGUUGGGUUUUGCGGUUGAAGCGCUUCAAUGACUAUCAUACAGGGGGUGAACAGCAAGCGAGGAAACUAAACAUCACUUACACUCCUGUUUUAUCCAAUGUACGGCAGCUCUAGUGAACGUGUAAGUAUGUGAUGUUAAAAUUGAACGGAUAAUACAAAAAAGAAAAACGUUGGAAGGAAAUAAAAAAAACAAACUAAACGAUAAAAACGAACGUCAAAACGCAAUCAAAUGUCCAACCACAGUGCGUAAAAGGAGAAUGGUGUGUGUUUUGUUUGAGGUUUUUCGAGAUCUUCUUUUUAAUGGUUUAUGGUUUCAAUUCUCUCAGUUUGAAAGCAACCGUACAGCGUCUGAACAAUUGGACAAACGAUUCGGUAGAUAAACAAAUUGCUUUCUUAGCCAAGUCAAGCCAGUGUACGAUAAACAAUUUUUAAAGUCUAUCCAACAGUUGAAACAAUAAACAUUUGCCCGAAAAGCAUCACGA